AGAAGACGCUGCCGGGGCCCGGUAGUUGCAGCUGUGACACCCCCAGGCUGCACAGGAGGUCCCGCCACCCCUUCUUCCUGCCAGGCUCCCCGAACCAGGUGGUGGGAGAGGCUGCUCCCCUUUGCUGGAGGUCCCUGCCCGACGUCCACACAUAAGACAACCUGUCCAGCGAGGCUUUUGUGAGCCACUAGAGCCACCCUACAGCUCACCUGGGCAGCAUGUAGGACAGUUCUGUCCCCUCGGUGCCCCGUGUUCUGGAUUCCCGUCCCCAGCUUACUGUCCUGACCCUGACAGUCCCAGCUCCUGCCUUCUCCAGCGCUUCCUGCCAGCUCUCUGUGUGGCUCACAAGAUUCCUGUCCCUCUGGUCGCUCCACUGACGCGGGGAAGGCUGGGCCUCGUUUGUCCUCCGUCCUGGGCUCCUGACACCCUGCUACUCCCUAGCUGCAUCCACCGUCAGCACCUACUCCAUCACCCACCCAAUCCCUUCUUGUCCCGGUGACUGUGACGACCCUCUGUGGGGUCUCCUGCUUCUGCAGCUGCUCCAGGGGCAGCAGAGUGAGUC
rnacentral:lncRNA from 1 species